rnacentral:rRNA from 1 species
UAACCGCGCCACAAGUGGUAGUCACGUUUAUUGGGCCUAAAGCAUCCGUAGCCGGUUUGAUGUGUCUUCGGUGGAAUCCCAUAGUAAACUAUAGGACUUGCUGAAAAUACUAUCAGGCUAGGAGCAGGGAGAGGUCAAGGGUACAGCUGGGGUAGGGGUUAAAUCCUUUAAUCCCAGUUGGACCACCAGUGGCGAAGGCGCUUGACUGGAACUGACUCGACGGUGAGGGAUGAAAGCUAAGGUAGCGACCGGGAUUAGAUACCCCGUUAGUCUUAGCUGUAAACGAUGCCCGCUUAGUAUAGCAGAACUUUUGGAGUUCUGCUGUGCUGUAGCGAAGGUGUUAAGCGGGCCGCCUGGGGAGUACGUCUGCAAGGAUGAAACUUAAGGGAAUUGGCGGGGGAGCACUACCAGGGGUGGAUGCUGCGGUUC